rnacentral:rRNA from 1 species
CACGUAGGGGGCGAGCGUUGUCCGGAUUUAUUGGGCGUAAAGAGCUCGUAGGCGGUUUCGUAAGUCGGAUGUGAAAUCCCUCGGCUUAACCGGGGAACUGCAUCUGAUACUGGAUGGCUUGAGUUCGGGAGAGGGAUGCGGAAUUCCAGGUGUAGCGGUGAAAUGCGUAGAUAUCUGGAGGAACACCGGUGGCGAAGGCGGCAUCUGGACCGACACUGACGCUGAGGAGCGAAAGCCAGGGGAGCAAAGCGGG